AUUGAACGCUGGCGGCGUGCUUAACACAUGCAAGUCGAUCGGUAACAGGUGUAGCAAUACAUGCUGACGAGAGGCGGACGGGUGAGGAAUAUUUGGGAAUCUGCCCAUCAGCGGGGGACAACCCGGGGAAACCCGGGCUAAUACCGCAUACGCUCUACGGAGGAAAGCCGGGGACCGCAAGGCCUGGCACUGAUGGAUGAGCCCAAAUCGGAUUAGCUAGUUGGCGGGGUAGCGGCCCACCAAGGCGACGAUCCGUAGCUGGUCUGAGAGGACGAUCAGCCACACCGGAACUGAGACACGGUCCGGACUCCUACGGGAGGCAGCAGUGGGGAAUAUUGGACAAUGGGGGAAACCCUGAUCCAGCGACGCCGCGUGGGUGAAGAAGGCCUGCGGGUUGUAAAGCCCUUUCGGUAGGGACGGAAGCUCUUGCUCUAAUAAUGCAAGAGGUUGACUUAACCUACAUAAGAAGCACCGGCUAACUCUGUGCCAGCAGCCGCCGCAG
rnacentral:rRNA from 1 species